ACACUGUUUCCUGAGGCAGAAUAGAAAGAGGAUUCUGACUCUCUUCCACCUGCAGAUCCGAACUCAUCUCUCACCACGGACCUCAGACCGUGGAACACUGGUGUCGGACAUAGGCCCUGGCUUGGAUCCUGGGGGUUUGCCCCGUAGGUCUCCAAGCAUGCGCCAUUUGUGAUUUUUAUGGUCAAGAGUUAGUGGACCUGGCUGACUGGCUUCCUGAAGCCCUGUCCCCAUCACUGCGGCUGCACCUGUGCUUCCUGUGAUGCCCGCAGCAGUCGUCCUGAAAUCCAUCCCUGAUGAAGGCCAGGGAGGGUGGCUCUCAGCUCUCCCGCAGUCGGAGAUGGCUUUGUGUUUUGAUGUGUGUCCAUUUUAAAUGAGGAGGUUCAUCUUGGAAACUGGAAAUAAAACAAGAACUUAACAUCUAAGCCAGAUGGUCCAGCGCUGCAUGGACCCUGGGCAGAUGGACUCCGAUAUGGGCACAGAGGACAUCGCAGCUGUGGCCAGCCAUCAGGGUGCCCUUCCAGCUCCUGCCCUAAUGGCUCUCCUGCGUCCUCCCACCUGCGGAGGCCAGGGCAUUAGGUAAUCAAAGGUUGGAAGCCCUGGGAUGUGGUGGGAAGGGCUUCUUGGCCUCCUCCCUGGGGUUAGGAAUCCCACUCUGGCUACGGCUGACCUCAGGGCCUAGAGUCAGUGGACCAUGACCUCAGCCCCUUCCCCAGCCAUUGCUCGCUGUCUGAGUGUGUGUGUGUGUGUGUGUGUG